UUAACAUCUAACAAAUCAAUAACAACUAGAGGAGUAAGCAUGAGGAAUCAAAGGAACAUCGCUGAAUUCACAGCAGCGAUACAUGAUAUCAUGUUGACACAAUAAGCAAUAACACCAUUAAAUCCCACACAUGAUGUUUAUGAAAUUUUAGGAAAAUGGAAUUUCUUUUGUUCAGGAUAGAACUGCUCUCUUAUUCCUGCUUUUCUCAACAUCACUUAUCAUUCUAAGAUCAUGGGUUUGGGAUGGAUGCUUGCCAGCUUUUUCCUUACAGAUUUACUAGUAAUGCAGUCUCCGAUGAAUAUCCGACUUUGGAAUGUAGAUACGUUGGAACAUCUUAACAGGAUGUUGAACCGUUUGUUAGAUGGAGACAUUGUAUAUGGUGAAAGGAUUGGAAGAAUUCAAUGACUUGAUACGACGUUCAACCAAAAUGGAGAAAUUCGUUUCUUGGUGGAUAUUAAGACUGACAGAGACGUCCACAGAAUGAUGUAUACUCCUUACAAAAUUGUUUUGAUGGUUGUAAUCGCAUAUUGUAAUCGCAUAGUUAUGUUGUUUAUGUGUUGUAUUUGUUAGUGAUGGUAUUUUAUUUGUUGUAGUUUGUUGUGUUGCUGUUUAUGUGUUGUAUUUGUUUGUGAUGGUAUUUUCUCACAAAGUUAUCA